rnacentral:rRNA from 1 species
GACGAACGCUGGCGGCGUGCUUAACACAUGCAAGUCGAACGGAAAGGCCCUGCGUUUGUGUGUUUCUCGAUUGGCGAACGGGGGAGUAACACGUGAGUAACCUGCCCUUGACUUUGGGAUAACUUCAGGAAACUGGGGCUAAUACCGGAUAGGAUCUCCUGCUGCAUGGUGGUGGUUGGAAAGUUUCGGCGGUUGGGGAUGGACUCGCGGCUUAUCAGCUUGUUGGUGGGGUAGUGGCUUACCAGGGCUUUGACGGGUAGCCGGCAUGAGAGGGUGACCGGCCACAUUGGGACUGAGAUACGGCCCAGAAUCCUAUGGGAGGCAGUAGUGGGGAAUAUUGCACAACGGGCGGACGCCUGAUGCAGCAACGCCGCGUGCGGGAUGCCGGCUUUCGGGUUGUAAACCGAUUUCGACUGUGAUGAAGAGUGAGUGACGGUAAUGGGUCAAGAAGCAACGGCUAACUACGUG